UAUCUCUGUAGAGUCUGCAUAUCAAUAAGCGGAGGAAAAGAAACUAACUAGGAUUCCCUCAGUAACGGCGAGUGAAGCGGGAAGAGCUCAAAUUUGAAAUCUUCAAGGUUCUACCUUGACGAAUUGUAGCUUUAAAGAAGUGUUUUCUGUUGGUGUUUUGGUAAAAGUUCUUUGGAAUAGGACAUCAUAGAGGGUGAGAAUCCCGUAUUUGACCAUUAUUUCCAGCCUUGUGAUACACUUUCAAAGAGUCGGAUUGUUUGGGAAUGCAGUCCAAAAUGGGUGGUAAAUUUCAUCUAAAGCUAAAUACUGGCGAGAGACCGAUAGCGAACAAGUACCGUGAGGGAAAGAUGAAAAGAACUUUGAAAAGAGAGUUAAACAGUACGUGAAAUUGUCAAAAGGGAAGCGUUUGACACCAGUGUUGUUUUCUCGAAAAUCAAUUAAAAAUGGCUUGAUUUUGUGUUGUAUUGACCUUAAAAGCUUUCUUCACUUUUUUCAUGUCUUUUUUAAUGCACUUUUCGUUUAACAAGUCAACAUCAGUUUCUUUUGUUGUAAAAAGGUCAUUGGAAGGUGGCUUUCUUUUCGGAGAAAGUGUUUAUAGCCUUUGGCCUCUGCAAUCGGAGAGAUUGAGGUCUGCAGCGUAGAUCCUUCGGGGUUAGAUACAUUUGUGCUAAGUUAUAGCCUUUCAUAGACAACUUGUUGACUAUGAUCAGUCAUGUAGCUUACUCGCUUAUGCUAUUUUACCUACGCUUAGGAUGUUGACGAGACUGUCGAUCUC
rnacentral:rRNA from 1 species